ACACGCAUGACACACUGCAUAUCAAUAAGCGGAGGAAAAGAAACUAACAAGGAUUCCCCUAGUAACGGCGAGUGAAGCGGGAAGAGCUCAAAUUUGAAAUCUUAAAGGGUUUCCCUUUACGAAUUGUAGUUUAAAGAAGUGUUUUCUGUUGGAGUUUCGGUAAAAGUUCUUUGGAAUAGGACAUCAUAGAGGGUGAGAAUCCCGUAUUUGACCGUUACUUUCCAGCUGUGUGAUACACUUUCAAAGAGUCGGAUUGUUUGGGAAUGCAGUCCAAAAUGGGUGGUAAAUUUCAUCUAAAGCUAAAUAUUGGCGAGAGACCGAUAGCGAACAAGUACCGUGAGGGAAAGAUGAAAAGAACUUUGAAAAGAGAGUUAAACAGUACGUGAAAUUGUCAAAAGGGAAGCGUUUGACACCAGUGUUGUUUAGUUGAGAAUCAAUUCAAUAAUUUUUGAUUUUAAGUAGUAUUGACUUCAUCAGCUUGCUGCUUUCUUUUCAGGAAUUAUUGAAUGCACUUUUCAGUUAACAAGUCAACAUCAAUUUCUUUUGUUGUAAAAGGGUAAGAGGAAGGUGGCUUACGCUUCGGCGUAAGUGUUUAUAGCCUUUUACCUCUGCAAUCGGAGAGAUUGAGGACAGCAGCGUAGACUCUUCGGGGUUAGAUACACUUGUGCUAAGCUAUAGCCUUGUAUAGACAACUUGUUGACUAUGCUCAGUCAUGUAGCUUACUCGCUUGUGCUAUUUUACCUACGCUUAGGAUGUUGAACUACUGAGACAUAGA
rnacentral:rRNA from 1 species